UAAAAACAAGUGCCUUCCAUUACCGGCGUUAUGCCAAUAAUUGUAAAAAGUUAUUGUAAUCAUAAAAAAAAAACAAGUGAAAUCUUCCCACAAUCCGGAGUGAAUCUGCAGUUAAGACAUUAAAACGGGUACCAAAGUAAUUUGAGUAAACAAUAUUUCUGGAAGCAAAGUGUGACAAGUGCGAAAUAUGAGAUUCAAAUAAAAACAUUAAACCCAUAUCUGUACUCCCUUCGCUUCAAAUUUGAGGCAAAUAAGAGAGACGGGUUUCACUGGUUUCACUGGUUGCACAGUUGCAUAAGUGGCGGGAUGUUAUUUCGGGCAAUUAUGACAGUGGUAGUGUCAAGUGCUACAAAUGCUCACAGUGGACAAAUCAAAACUAGGUAUUAAAAAAAUUGCAGCAAAAUACAAUGAACACAAAAAGCUAAAUCAACAACCGUAAUCACAGGGGUUGCAACUGUUGUAGGAAGACAUCAUUGGCGGCGUCAAUAACUGGCAACAUCCAGUUGUAGCAGACUAAUCAAAGCGCGUUGCUAGGUCACGUGGCAGCCGAGAAAGGAAGUAGUACGCAUUCAAAAAUGUUUCGCAUACGAGUAAGCCAAUUAAGUAGAUACAUCAGUGCAAUCUGAAGUAACUUCUAAAAAACAAAAAAAAAA